rnacentral:lncRNA from 1 species
UGUUGAGUGCAGGUUCCCGUUAUCUUGAAAGAUAGUUUCUCAGCGGGAGGCUGGACUAUCUGGGUAAUGGUUUGAUUGUAUUGUUUAGUAUUGAUAUUAUUGUUUAGUAGUUAGUACUAAGGGUCUUAGGCCAUAUAGGCCGGACUACUGCUACUACUGGUUUGUGUUGUAGAGUUGAGUGUCUAGUUAGGAUCUGGAACUUUGGCUUUAGGUUAGGUUCU